UACGGAGGGUGCAAGCGUUAUCCGGAUUCACUGGGUUUAAAGGGUGCGUAGGUGGGCAGGUAAGUCAGUGGUGAAAUCUCCGGGCUUAACCCGGAAACUGCCAUUGAUACUAUCUGUCUUGAAUACCGUGGAGGUGAGCGGAAUAUGUCAUGUAGCGGUGAAAUGCUUAGAUAUGACAUAGAACACCAAAUUGCGAAGGCAGCUCACUACGCGAAUAUUGACACUGAGGCACGAAAGCGUGGGGAUCGAAACAGG
rnacentral:rRNA from 1 species